rnacentral:rRNA from 1 species
UACGAAGGGGGCUAGCGUUACUCGGAUUGACUGGGCGUAAAGGGCGCGUAGGCGGUUCGUAAAGUCAGACGUGAAAUUCCUGGGCUCAACCUGGGGGCUGCGUUUGAUACGGGCGGGCUUGAGUUCGGAAGAGGGUCGUGGAAUUCCCAGUGUAGAGGUGAAAUUCGUAGAUAUUGGGAAGAACACCGGUGGCGAAGGCGGCGACCUGGUCCGAUACUGACGCUGAGGCGCGAAAGCGUGGGGAGCAAACAGG